AUUCCAGCUCCAAUAGCGUAUAUUAAAGUUGUUGUGGUUAAAAAGCUCGUAGUUGGAUCUCGGCGGUCUGAGGGCGGUUCGCUUCAGAGCGCUACUGCCCUAUAGACCGUAGUUUUGCCAGAGGUCUCAGGGUGCUCUUAACCGAGUGUCUUGCGAUGCUGGCAGGUUCACUUUGAAAAAAUUAGAGUGCUCAAAGCAGGCGUCGGCUUGAAUACAUUAGCAUGGAAUAAUGGAAUAGGACUUUGGCUCUAUUUUGUUGGUUUCUAGGACCGAAGUAAUGAUUAAUAGGGACAGUUGGGGGCAUUAGUAUUUAAUUGUCAGAGGUGAAAUUCUUGGAUUUAUGAAAGACUAACUACUGCGAAAGCAUUUGCCAAGGAUGUUUUCAUCA
rnacentral:rRNA from 1 species